GGUUUUUGUUUGUGAUGUCUUUAUUGGGAACACUUGCACAAUCUUGAGCAUGCUAGGAGGUUUAAGAUGGGUUAUAGCAAGAACCAGAGAGUCCAAACUCCAAAUCAAUCCUGCUCAAUUUAGUGUGUAUUUUCUGGCUUCUUGAAUAAUGCAACCUGAUUAUGGCAAAUAACAUAUGUAUCAUAGUUGUGUAAUGCUCUACUGGAGUGUUCAGCGGUUGGUUUGGAUCAAAUUUGGAUUCAAACUGAUCUCAUUCAUCGUGAAGACUAUUUAUUUGGCCAAUCCAAUCCAUUUUAUCUUAUUUAUUAGUUAAUCAUUAUUUUUUAAAUACAAAUCAUUUAAUUGAUCCAUAUGUCAUCUAACUAUUUUUAAUAUUAUGAAUGUUAUAUUAACUAUAAAUACAAAUAAUCAACCACUCAAGUCUCAAAAGCCAUUCAGAAUUAAUUUGUAAAAUAUAAGGAUUUAUUUGUAAAUAAGUAUAUUAUUUAGGAUCAACUUAUAAAAUUCUAGGUACUUAUAUAAUUUAUAAAAAUAUGAGGACUUAUUUGUAAGUAAGUAUAUUAUUUAGGAUCAAUUUAUAAAAUUAUAAGUAAAAUAUUUGUGGUUAAAUGUAUAAUAAUAUUAGAAUAAGUUGAAAAAAAAAUAUAAAAUUUAAUUAAAGAUUUAAGGGACUAAACUGUAGAUUUAUUAAACUUGGGGGAUUUAGUUGUUUUUUAUGAAAAUAUAGAGGGCAUUUUUGUCAUUUUUAAUAGAUUUAACAGCAAGUUAACUUUGACCUUGAUGGCAAGGGGUGAAUUGUAGCUGAAUAAUAGAAUUUGAAAAACAUAAGGACUAAACCUUACAUUUCACUAAAGGGGACUAAACUAAAAUUUACCCUAGAAAGUAUCAUAAAAUUUAGAUAAAAAAAAAAAUUGAAUUGAGAUAUUACAUAUUAUAUUCCUAAUAAUAGAAAUAACAAAAUAAUCUAAUUAAUAUUAUAUCCAAACCAACAAAAAAUUGAAGGAAAAAAGAUGAGAGUUCUAGAAAGUGACAAUUGGGUGUAAAAUGAUUACCAUUUUCAAACCAACAAAAAAUUGAAGGAAAAAAGAUGAGAGUUCUAGAAAGUGACUUAUUUUGUGGGUUUGGAUUGGGUUGGGUUGAUCGAAUUUAAUGGAUUGACCAACCUAUGAACACCUUUAAUGCUUUAAAACAAGUUUGAAGCCCAAUUCCCAAUUGACAAAACUUUUAGGAGAGUAAACUGUAAUUUAGUCCUUGCAGUUUAGCGGAACCUACGCAUUAGACCAUGUAUGUUUAAAAGCUAUCUAUUUAAUCCUUAAGAACCAACAAAUUAGAUCCUACCUAGGGGUGUAAACGAGCCGAGCCGAGCUUUGAAAAGCUCAAGCUUGGUUAGUUAAAAUUUUUUUGAGCUCAAACCGAAUUCGAGCUUUACUCAUAUCGAACUCGAGCCGAGUAUUAAGAAGCUCAAGCUUGGCUCGUUUAGCAAACGAGCUUAGACGAGUCGAGCUUUUAUCGAGCUGAGUCGAGCUUUAAUCGAGCUGAGUCUCGAAUAGUUCACGAGUAAAUUAAUUUAUUUACAUGUAUAAUGAAUUUUAGUUUAAAACUAAUAAGUUUAAAACUAAAAUAAUUUUAGUUAAAUAAGUAUAUCUACAAAUUAGCAUGUAAACUUAUAAAGAUGAGUUUUUAAAUCUCAAUGAUCCAACUAUAUGCAAGUUUAAGAGUGUAACUAAACUAUAUAGAGCUGAAUUUUAAAAAAUUUAGAUUUGACUCAUUAAAAUAUAUGCAGGGUUUGAGUUUAUUUCUCUUAUGAUAGUAAUUUCAGUUUGCUUAACGAGACUGUUCACGAGCCUAUUCGCGAGCCUGCUCAUGAACUCAGAAACGAGCCGAGCUCACGAGCCUUAACGAGCCGAAUACUAUGGAGCUCAAGCUUGGCUCGUUUACCAAACGAGCUUAAAAAUUAAGCUCGAGCUUGGCUCGUUUAGAAAUCGAGUCGAGCUCGGUCGAGCUUUUAUCGAAUCGAACCUCGAAUAGCUCACGAACGGUUUGAUUCAUUUACACCCCUAAUCCUACCUCAAAAAAGACAGUUAAAUUACUUAUUACCAUUAUUGUAGUAUUUAUGCAAGGACUAAUUUGUUGUAUUUAUUUAAACUACAAUGACUAAAUAUUGAAAUACAUGAAAUUAAGAGACUAAUGUGAAUGAAAUAAAGAAAUCCUAGGUGCAUUUUUUAUGGCAGGGAAAGAUUAGUUGGUUUCUAGAAUUGCAAGAAUUAAAUAAUUGACUUCUAAAAAUAUAUGGAUUGAUGUGUAGGUUUUACUAAAUUGCAAGGACUAAAUUGUAAUCUAUCCUUACUAAAAAUGUUUUAGCUUUAGCUGGAG
rnacentral:lncRNA from 1 species